rnacentral:rRNA from 1 species
UACGAAGGGGGCUAGCGUUGCUCGGAAUCACUGGGCGUAAAGCGCACGUAGGCGGAUCUUUAAGUCAGGGGUGAAAUCCCGGAGCUCAACUCCGGAACUGCCUUUGAUACUGGGGAUCUUGAGUCCGGGAGAGGUGAGUGGAACUGCGAGUGUAGAGGUGAAAUUCGUAGAUAUUCGCAAGAACACCAGUGGCGAAGGCGGCUCACUGGCCCGGUACUGACGCUGAGGCACGAAAGCGUGGGGAGCAAACAGG